rnacentral:lncRNA from 1 species
UACGCAUAGUAAUUAGGAGCACUAGAAAAAGAUAAAUAUAAAAAAUUCUUUAAAAUAGAAACUUUCAACUGUCAAUUCACUAGACUCUAAUCAUGAUUCAUGAUCAAUACCUAUUUAAAUUCUUAAACUAACCCAAAUUUAUGAAAAUAGCAUAAGGUAACCCUUAAAGGAAUGGCUAAAAUAUCCUCCCUCACCAUUACAAAAAAUAGCACAAAAUAAACACCUAAACUUAAAUCUGAAGUAAUCCUUUAAAUCUAUGUAUAAAUUACCCACCCUACUACUAUGAAAAUAAAAUAAAUCAACCCCA